ensembl:lncRNA uncharacterized LOC115025589
CUGCAUAAUGAAUACUUUCAUUUUGGAUACUAUAUAUUACAAUUACACUUUUACUUGUAACCGGAUACUUACAAUGUUAUUGUUUUAGCACUUCCAACACUGCAAAUGAGAAAUAAGAUGCUUCUGAAACUGAACUCUUGCAGAAGUAACAUUUUGUUUUUGGAUGAAUAUUCUGAGUAACGGUUUUCAUGAAGCUUGUUUCCAUGGUGACGCAGUUACUCGGUUACAGCUGCAGUAUAGCAUUGCUGCUCGUGAUGUGUAGCUCGUGCACACUGGCCUUUAUAAUGUCCAGGACUCGUAUGUUUGCUCUAUAACCAGGUUAGUGACUAUAUGGCAGCUCCAACAUGACGACUCUGCAAGCUGAACGCAUCGCGACCCUCCGCUAAAGCCUCCAUGUCGGAGCGGGGCUCGGGUUGCAGCCCGCGCGGCCCUGAUGCUGCGACUCAUCCCGCAUACAGGAGCUUCGGGAUGGGAGCAGGUGGAGGACAAGCAGCUGUCAGACACAACAAUCACCUCAGGAGGAAACUGCCCCUGAUACAUCCCCUGAGCAGGUCCCGGGACUGGAACACGCUGCUCAGCGGCUUCAUAGUUGGAGGGUCAUCUAACUUAUCCAAAGAGGAAACGGAGAACAAUGACCCGGACAUCAGUGGGAGACGCUUUCUGUUUGAUAAACAAUAUGCGAGGUUAGAGAGGACCAGAAGUGUGAUUCCGCCGCUGCAGAGAGACUACCAUGUGCACAGACCUGGCAACCUGCAUCCCUUCAGCCUCUCCAAGGAGCUUUCCCACAGCCAGGCGGGCCGGCCUUUCACCCCGCGCUUCCCUGAAAGAUAUGAAGUGAACACAACUCCAGCCAUCCUCUUUCCUUCCCCUUUAAUCCUCAACGGCAGAAACACCUUCUCAGUUGACAACUGCAAGCUCAGCAGGCCCAAGGUGAAUUAUCCGACCUACAACCUGCUCAGUGCUAAAGACAAUCAGAAGAGCCAGUCCUACCCCGACCCGGUGGUCGGAGCCUCUCGCUCUUUCAUCCACAGGAUAUCGGAGCUGUCCUCCCUGGAGGGCGAGACGGUGAGGCAAGAAAAGCUCAAACAAAUGAGGAAACCGAAAAAACCUCCAUCCUGACAAUCACUCUCUUCCCAGUCACGCUGGUCGAGGAUCAAAACCUUCGAGUCUGUGCCAACGUUGUCUGAACAGAAUAAAACCUUACAGGCGCCAUGUUCCCGUCAGUGGCUCGUUGUGACGGCUUGUUUGUCCUCAGCGGUUUUAGUUUUCUGCUCAACUUGGCUGGUCUUCACAUUUUGGGAUUCCUGAGCUGAUCUCCUCUGUAGUGAUUACAUGUGGUGUUUUCUACAACAACAAACGCUAGAGAUGAAUAUUAAAUAUUUGUUAUUCUGCCUCACAGCUGUCACAAGUCUCCCUCCUAACACCUGCAUGAAAAGACAUUUUUCAUGGCUGUUAUGUAAUACUGCCAUAUUUCCUGCUGUAUCAUGAAUAUGUUGCAGAUGCUGUCUGUUGGAUCUCAUUACAAAAGUGUUUCAAACGUUACAGUUAAUCGAGUAAGUGGAAUAUUUAUGUACAACUUGAAUAGUUUAGCAAAACCAUUAUCGUGCCUUGUUAAACGUCUUCCUGAAAUUAAAAACAUUUAUUUUUGUUAUUGUUACGGCUGUUUCCCCUUUUGUGAGCUUCGACGUCCUUUGGCACAUAUCGACCAGCG